GUGUGUGUGUGUGUGAGAUAAUGCUGCUCCUCAUGGUUCUUCUGUCUCUACAGGUGAGAGUGUGGCUCCGUCUGAAGCUCCUGCUAAAACGCAGAAAAAACCCAAGAAACUCAAAGCGAGUGUCCCAUCUGAGAGCGGCGGCGGCGGCCGGCCAGACGUCUGGCUGAGAGGAACCACAAACAACGGCCUGGACUAUUUCUACAACACCGUCACUGGAGAGUCUCAGUGGGAGAAACCAGGCGGGUUUAUGGACGAGAGCUCGUCAUCGGCCGUGGGACAAACACAGGAUCCGUCAGGCGGUGCAUGGAUGGAGGCCAUGAGUCCUGAUGGAUACAUGUACUACUUCAACACUGAGACGUGCGGU